rnacentral:rRNA from 1 species
AUAGCGUAUAUUAAAGUUGUUGCAGUUAAAAAGCUCGUAGUUGGAUUUCCGGGCCCGGACCGGGUGGUCUGCCGCAAGGUGUGUACUGCUGGACGGGCACCGAAUGAUAAUUCUUUCCGAAGACCACUCGUGCUCUUCACUGAGAUGCGUGUUUUGGGACUCGGGACUUUUACUUUGAAAAAAUUAGAGUGUUCAAAGCAGGCAAUUCGCUUGAAUACAUUAGCAUGGAAUAAUGGAAUAGGACUUUGGUCUUAUUUUGUUGGUUUCUAGGACCGAAGUAAUGAUUAAUAGGGACAGUUGGGGGCAUUAGUAUUUAAUUGUCAGAGGUGAAAUUCUUGGAUUUAUGAAAGACUAACUUCUG